UUACUCAACUCAGUCAACUACAACAUCAGUGUACUCUAACUUAGAAAGACCAAGACUAUCUCUCAACACUUACAACCAAACAAGCUACAAACAUUACUACUUUAUCACAACAAGUCUCAUUUCGAGAGCAAAAUGUCACUUUACUCACUGCAUCUCUUACUGCAUCAGACGAGACUUUGAAGCAAACACGAGCAACAUCAAAGCAGCAAGCUAAUGUUUGUAAGUCUAACGUCACAUUACUUUCAAAUGAAAAGAUGACACUCGUUGAUCAAGUGAAUGAUCUGGAACAAUUGGUCGACUCUCUCAACCAAACUGUCACGAACCUCAUGAGUGAAAUAAAAAGUUGUGCAGACCAACUGACACAACCCACAGCUCUCAUUGCUCCACUUCACAUGCUUCAACAACUCAACCUCCCACCACAGAUGCAUGAGUCACAACAUCACCAUCUUCAGCAAUACCAACAACAACAGAUUCUGUAACCACACCACCUGACACGCCAUGUCCCACUCCAGAUCCUGCACCACUUAAUCGACUGAAGGAAAACAACACACGAUUACAGCAACGGUUGUCGCUUGAGGCAGGCGUGGUGUCUGGCUUGAAACAGCAACUUUGACUGGAGCAAACCAAAUCGCUCGGCCUCAUCACCAAGUCAACAAACUUCAAACAAAUGUGACUUUUCUUAAUCGACGAAUACAACGAUGUGAAGUAUCAAGAAACCAAGCUUUACAAGAUCUAACAAUCUGCUCGUGUGCAAACACGGCAACCAGUGUGCUCUCGACCGAACACAAUCAACAAGUUAUUAUAUCCACCAUGCAACGAACGAUCGACCGACUGACAGCAGAAAAGAGUGAACUAAACUCUAAGUAUCAACUCAUGCUGACAGAGAAUCAGAAGGCAAAGCAAAACAUCAACAAACUGAACGAACAAAUCACAACAUUAAUAUCGGGUCAAAAGCCACAGUUGGAAUCUCGACCUACAGACGACGGCCAGUCAUCGUACGAUUGGUCGGACCUUCUGGAAUCGACUCCAGGAAAGAUUGUUGUUGCUGUCGGUGGUGCAUUCUUUUUGCUCUUUCUCGUUUUCUUCACUGUGAGCAUCUGCUUUUGUGUAAAGAAGCGUAGUGGCAGCAAGUCGGCGAGGAAGUACGACGUGCAGAUGGCAAACAUGGCAUUUGAUUAGAGAAAUAAGGGAUAUAUGCCAGACAGCGAUUAUCCUCUCGAUUAAUUAAUUAAGUGAGAAAGUUUGCUUUCUCUAUUGUCUGCACAAGAGACGUGCUUGUGUGGUGCUAUUGUAUUGAUAUGCUGGAUAUCUACGUAGCUUGCCUCUUCAUUCUAUUUUUACUAGCAACUUUCAGUUUGUAUUGGUCUAGAUGACUGUCUGUUUCAUAUAACUGAUUUAAUUAAUUGAUGACAAUAAAUACUCAAAG